CCUACGGGAGGCAGCAGUGGGGAAUAUUGGGCAAUGGGCGCAAGCCUGACCCAGCAAUGCCGCGUGUAGGAAGAAGGCUUUCGGGUUGUAAACUUCUUUUCUCAGGGACGAAGCAAGUGACGGUACUUGAGUAAUAAGUCACGGUUACCUACGUGCCAGCAGCCGCGGUAAUACGUAGGUGGCAAGCGUUAUCCGGAUUUACUGGGUGGAAAGGGCGUGUAGGCGGGAAAGCAAGUCAGAUGUGAAAACCAUGGGCUCAACCUGUGGCCUGCAUUUGAAACUGUUUUUCUUGAGUACUGGAGAGGCGGGCAGAAUUCCUGGUGUAGCGGUGAAAUGCGUAGAGAUUAGGAGGAACACCAGUGGCGAAGGCGGUCUGCUGGACAGCGACUGACGCUGAGGCGCGAAAGCGUGGGGAGCAAACAGGAUUAGAUACCCGGGUAGUC
rnacentral:rRNA from 1 species